UACAGAGGUGGCAAGCGUUGUUCGGAAUUACUGGGCGUAAAGGGCGCGUAGGCGGCCUUCUAAGUCAGACGUGAAAUCCCCAGGCUUAACUUGGGAACUGCGUCCGAUACUGGCAGGCUUGAAUCCGGGAGAGGGAUGCGGAAUUCCAGGUGUAGCGGUGAAAUGCGUAGAUAUCUGGAGGAACACCGGUGGCGAAGGCGGCAUCCUGGACCGGCAUUGACGCUGAGGCGCGAAAGCGUGGGGAGCAAACAGG
rnacentral:rRNA from 1 species